UUAAAUUUUAUUAAUUAAAAAAAAAAAAAAAAAAAUCUGUUCUUCUUAGUCAGUUUAAUACUGAUACUCCCCCUAUGGGACCGUCUAUAUUAAAUGGAAUUUUGGAAGCGGGAGAUGGGAGCGGGUCUUGCUCCGUCCACUCCACGCAUCGACCCGUUAUGGCAGUACCUCCGGGAACGGUGCCCAUUUC